UAUUUUAGCAUGCAUCAUUGCUCCAAAGGUUCAAGUAAUGCCACAACUUCACACAGGAGUGCAAAAUGAGCUUUCUGUAUAGUCUCAAAUAGAGCAUGGUGAUACCAAAACUGCUACAGCUGUUUUCAAAGUAAUUGUAUAAUUGCUGUAGAUAAACUGUAAAUAAAAUCUAAUGUUCAUGUUUCAGCUUGUUCUCUCCAUUGUAACUUCAAAACUACUUCUCAGUAUUAGGUGGGGGUUUCUUUUGUUUUGUUUUGUUUGCUUUUCCUGUUUGAAGGAAAAGAACUUCUGUAGCUAACCUUUUAUUUAACCAAACUGGUUGUGUUGCUCUUCAGAGAAAUAUCCUUGUAUUCUCUCAGAAUUAUCUUUCCCUUUCCUAGAAUUUCUGAAGCCUUUAUACCAAUAACUCUUACAUUAGAAUUUUAUUACAUCUGAAGAAAAUCAUGCAAUGGCUGUGAGAAAGGAAAACCGUGGCUUUUCCCAUCUGGAAAUGUGGUUUCCCAACCGGAAUGUUGCUGGAGGGCAGAGGGGACUAUUUUUCACUGGAUGGUGUUCGGAAAAGAUGACAUUUUGGUUCCCAGAAAAGGAUGGAGUCAACUGUGCUCUUGAGAAAUGGGGUGGAAUGGAGGAGAGUAACAGCAGAAAUGUUGGAAAUGGAAGCUAA
rnacentral:lncRNA from 1 species